AAAACAAACAUCUUUAUCUGUGAACUUUAAACGAAGAGGAAAGUGCUUAGCAUUCGACCAAGGCUUAAAGACAACCAGCGGGACAAUCGUCCGGUUUUGUCAGAUUCAAUGAGCGAUUGAGCCCAUCUGAAUCGGAACAUCCGGAGAUAUUCGAAGGGCGCGUUCAAGAUUCACAACCGAAGGGAAAAACAAGAAACGUUAUGGUGCCGAGAAGAGUUUACGGCAAAAGUGCUUUGGAUGAGUGUGUCAAACAAAUUAAAAACAAAACAAUCCCAAGCAACAUUUUAAACACCUCAAGGUUUUAUUAAUUAAAACGUAGGUUUUUUAAUGGGAUUGAAAUAGCGUCCUUGGCUGUGUAGCAUAUUUUCAGAAGAGCUCUAUAUAAAUUGGCUGCAGGAUAGUUACAAAACCAUAACACAACCUUCUAAUAAAACUCAACAUGAAUUCAGCAAGAGUUCUAUAAGUGAUUUUUAUUUGGGUUUACAAGACAGCUAUACAGCACUUACAAAACCUUUCGGUGCAACCUAAAUUCGAUCAAUUUAAGACGUCAAAAUUUUAAAUCAAUUUGGUCGUAUAAAAAGCUUCUGCAAGACCAAAACCAAAACGAAAUGUCAAAAGUUUGUAUACGAUGGUAAGAACAAGAAGACAUAAUUUUGUUUUCUCAUCCAUUCGUAACACUUAGAAGGUCAUAUUCGGAGUUAUGCAGCCAGUAAGUGCAUCUGUUGUCUAAACUGGUCGUCCGCAAUUCGGUGGUUCUGUCCCGGACAUACAACCAUUCCCACAUUGUCCGGGAGUUCCCCUUGAUCGAUUUGCCGGUUCCGGAGGAUGGGUUUUCAAAUUACACCGCCGGUUCAAUGCUGUGUUGGCUGCCGGAAUUGCCAGCAUUUAAAAACCUUGAAGUGAAGCAAAUAAUAAAUUAGUGUAAAUGGUGUUUACUUUUAUUUGAAGUUGU